rnacentral:rRNA from 1 species
UAAGACAGAGGGUGCAAACGUUGUUCGGAAUUACUGGGCGUAAAGCGCGUGUAGGCGGCUAUGUAAGUCGGGCGUGAAAUCCCAUGGCUCAACCAUGGAAGUGCACCCGAAACUGCGUAGCUAGAGUCCUGGAGAGGAAGGUGGAAUACUUGGUGUAGAGGUGAAAUUCGUAGAUAUCAAGUGGAACACCGGUGGCGAAGGCGGCCUUCUGGACAGUGACUGACGCUGAGACGCGAAAGCGUGGGGAGCAAACAGGAUUAGAUACCCUGGUAGUCCACGCCGUAAACGAUGAGUGCUAGGUGUCACGGGCUUUGACCCUCGUGGUGCCGAAGCUAACGCGUUAAGCACUCCGCCUGGGGAGUACGGCCGCAAGGCUA